GGCCUACGGGUGGCAGCAGUGGGGAAUUUUGCGCAAUGGACGAGAGUCUGACGCAGCAACGCCGCGUGGGUGAUGAAGGUCUUCGGACUGUAAAACCCUGUCGUCAGGGACGAAGGUGGCGGAGUUAAUAGCUCCGUUACUUGACGGUACCUGGAGAGGAAGCCCCGGCUAACUCUGUGCCAGCAGCCGCGGUAAUACAGAGGGGGCAAGCGUUAUUCGGAAUUAUUGGGCGUAAAGGGCGCGUAGGCGGUUUUUUAAGUCAGAUGUGUAAUCCCCGGGCUCAACCUGGGAACUGCAUCUGAGACUGGAAGGCUAGAGUACUGGAGAGGGUGGUGGAAUUCCUCGUGUAGCGGUGAAAUGCGUAGAGAUGAGGAGGAACACCAGUGGCGAAGGCGGCCACCUGGACAGUAACUGACGCUGAGGCGCGAAAGUGUGGGUAGCAAACAGGAUUAGAUACCCUGGUAGUCU
rnacentral:rRNA from 1 species